AGGCGGCGUAAUCGAGGUUCAGGUUCAUUCUGUCAGCAGCAGCUUCAGAUGAUUGACAACAUGGUGCUUGAUAUUGAUAACAGUCAAAGCCACAACAUGUGCAGUUUGUUUUAAUAAAGCUGCACAUUCUGUAGAUGACAGCUCAGUGACAGACUCAUAAUGUCACUUAACAGCACACAUUUCAAGCCAUAAACAGAGAAAACAGACAAACCUUGUGACGAAGAGCAGGAAUCAAAGAUGUCACACGACUCAGCCUAAAGAAUGUGUUUGGACCGUUACAUCCAGUCAACAGAAGCCGAGCUCUGGGCCGUUUGGACGGACAUUCACCGUAGGAUGGACAUCAGCUCAGUCACAGUCAAAAGCAUAACCCCCUGCUGGACAUCGUGCGGGAGCUCAGGGGUGGACCCCAUGAUCCCCCACACCUUCUCACUCGCACCACAGCAUUCACUCAUAUCACAUAUCUCAUAUCAUAGCGGAGAUCUGGCUGGACUCGAACCAGCAACCUCUGAAACCGUGAGGCAACGCUCUUACCUGUGAGCCACAGAUCUCUUGUCUGAACAUGUGAAGGAACUUAUAUUUCACUAUGUAUGUGAGCUGGGAUUUUACAAUAAACCAGUUAAAUGACACAUCUCUAACUCACUGAGCUAUGGGGUUUGAACCCAUGACUCUGCCUCAACCUUGUCUCCCAGUGACGUGUGUUUAACCACUACACCACCGUGGCUUUCACACUGAGAGCUGCCGUUUGAGGCAGUUUGUUGGAUAUAAUGCAAUAAAUGGUCUUUCGGGGAC